AUUUUUUUUCCCCACGGUCUUUUACGAGAACUGGAGGCUGCGGACCUUGCGGAAGUUUGUGUGCGGAGCUGGAGCUGCUAAGCUUUCGUGAAGUGUUCUACCGGUGAAUUGUGUCGCAGACGACGGAGGACUAAAAACCCGCACAAGAGGCGCAGAGGAAAAGUGAGGAGGACUAUCGACGUUGACCGCUGGGACGGCGUGUCGACGAGGAGACUUCCACAAGGGCGCAUAGGAUUGACGAAAGCUCGUCGCUCCAGAAACCAAAAGGACAGAUUCCAUUCACGACAAGGGUAACGUCUUCGGACAGGACCCGCAUUCCAAGGACCUGCAGUGGGAUUCCCACCGCAAAGCGGAUUCCUUGGUUGACGUCCGCAGCCCCAUCCAAUAUUGCUGGGUGAAAUGGAACAACAUAAGCCCUGGGCAAGCAUCCAAAACAACACUGG
rnacentral:lncRNA from 1 species